AGCCGCGGUAAUUCCAGCUCCAAUAGCGUAUACUAAAGUUGUUGCGGUUAAAAAGCCCGUAGUUGGAUCUUGGAAUGUGUUCAAGCGGGUCAGCUUCUGGCUGUGCGCUGCUUGACGUGUUCUUCUAUUUGGUUUUGGUGCGGUGCGCUUAACUGCGUGUCGCUCCCGGCCGAAACGUCUACCUUGAAAAAAUUAGAGUGUUCAAAGCAGACCUGUUUGAGUCUGAAUAUUCGUGCAUGGAAUAAUGAAAUAUGAAUUCGGUUCUAUUUUGUUGGCUUUCGGAACUCGAGUUAAUGAUCAAGAGGGACAGACGGGGGCAUUCGUACUCUGCCGUUAGAGGUGAAAUUCUUGGAUCGGCGGAAGACGCGCAACUGCGAAAGCAUUUGCCAAGAAUGUUUUCUUUAAUCAAGAACGAUAGUCGGAGGUUCGAAGACGAUCAGAUACCGUCCUAGUUUCGACUGUAAACUAUGCCAGCUAACGAUCAGACAGAGUUCUCUACGACUUGUCUGGCAGUUUCCGGGAAACCAAAGCGUUUGGGUUCCGGGGGAAGUAUGGUUGCAAAGCUGAAACUUAAAGGAAUUGACGGAAGGGCACCACCAGGAGUGGAGCCUGCGGCUUAAUUUGACUCAACACGGGGAAACUCACCCGGCCCGGACACAGUGAGGAUUGACAGAUUGAGAGUUCUUUCUUGAUUCUGUGGGUGGUGGUGCAUGGCCGUUCUUAGUUGGUGGAGCGAUUUGUCUGGUUAAUUCCGAUAACGAACGAGACUCUGGCAUGUUAAAUAGUCGCGGAAGUGCGUAUGCACUUGCCGAAUUGACUUCUUAGAGGGACUAGUGAUUUUAAUUCACACGAGAUUGAGCAAUAACAGGUCUGUGAUGCC
rnacentral:rRNA from 1 species